rnacentral:rRNA from 1 species
AUUGAACGCUGGCGGCGUGCCUAAUACAUGCAAGUCGAACGCAGUGGGGACGGGUGAGUAACACGUGGGUAACCUCCCAUCAGAGGGGAUAACACUUGGAAAAAGGUGCUAAACCGCUACUGGUGGGAGGACACGCGGUGCAUUAGCUAGUUGGUGAGGUAACGACUAACCAAGGCCACGAUACAUAGCCGACCUACGACGGUGAUCGGCCACACUGGGACUGAGACACGGCCAAGAGUACGACGUGAGGCAUCAGUAUGGAAUCUUCGGCAAUGGACGAAAGUCUGACCGAGCAACGACGCGUGAGUGAAGAAGGUUUUCGGGUCGUAAAACUCUGUUGUUAGAGAAGCGGUAUCUAACCAGAAAGCCACGGCUAACUACGUGCCAGCAGCCGCGGUAAUUC